rnacentral:rRNA from 1 species
UACGUAGGGUGCAAGCGUUGUCCGGAAUUAUUGGGCGUAAAGCGCUCGUAGGCGGUCUGUCGCGUCUGCUGUGAAAACUCGGGGCUUAACCCCGGGCCUGCAGUGGGUACGGGCAGACUAGAGUGCGGUAGGGGAGACUGGAAUUCCUGGUGUAGCGGUGAAAUGCGCAGAUAUCAGGAGGAACACCGGUGGCGAAGGCGGGUCUCUGGGCCGUAACUGACGCUGAGGAGCGAAAGCGUGGGGAGCAAACAGG